GAUGAAGAACGUAGCGAAAUGCGAUACGUAGUGUGAAUUGCAGAAUUCAGUGAAUCAUCGAAUCUUUGAACGCACAUUGCACCUCUCGGUAUUCCGGGAGGUAUGCCUGUUCGAGCGUCAUUUGUACCCUCAAGCUCUGCUUGGUGUUGGGUGUUUGUUCCGCCUCUGUGUGUGAACUCGCCUCAAAACAAUUGGCAGCCGGCGUACUUGUUUCGGAGCGCAGCACAUUUUGCGAUCCAGAUCAACGUACAGCGGCAUCCAAGAAGCCUUAUUUAACGCUCCUGACCUCGGAUCAGGUAGGGAUACCCGCUGAACUUAAGCAUAUCAAUAAGCGGAGGA
rnacentral:misc_RNA from 1 species